ACCAGGUGGAGACCAGAAGCCACAUCUAAACGGGGCGAUUCCGAAAAGCCAGACGAGUAGGUUUACC
rfam:Rufibacter tibetensis strain 1351, complete genome.